rnacentral:rRNA from 1 species
UGGGGAAUAUUGGACAAUGGGCGAAAGCCUGAUCCAGCAAUGCCGCGUGAGUGAUGAAGGCCUUAGGGUUGUAAAGCUCUUUUACCCGGGAUGAUAAUGACAGUACCGGGUGAGGAAGCCCCGGCUAACUCUGUGCCAGCAGCCGCGGUAAUACAGAGGGGGCAAGCGUUGUUCGGAAUUACUGGGCGUAAAGGGCGCGUAGGCGGCCUUCUAAGUCGAACGUGAAAUCCCUGGGCUCAACCCAGGAACUGCGUCCGAGACUGGGAGGCUAGAAUCCGGGAGAGGGAUGUGGAAUUCCAGGUGUAGCGGUGAAAUGCGUAGAUAUCUGGAGGAACAUCGGUGGCGAAGGCGGCAUCCUGGACCGGUAUUGACGCUGAGGCGCGAAAGCCAGGGGAGCAAA